AGAGUUUGAUCCUGGCUCAGGAUGAACGCUAGCGGCAGGCCUAAUAUAUGCAAGUCGAACGGUAAAUAUUUAGUAAUAAAUAUGAGGGUGACGUACGGGUGCGUAACACGUAUGCAAUUUACCCUUUACAGGCGGAUAGCUCGGGGAAACUCGAAUUAAUCCGCCGUAAUAUAAUUGGAUGGUAUCAUCUGGUUAUUAAAUUUACGGAGGUAAAGGAUGGGCAUGCGUCUGAUUAGUUAGUUGGCGGGGUAACGGCCCACCAAGACGAUGAUCAGUAGGGGAACUGAGAGGUUGAUUCCCCAUACUGGCACUGAGAUACGGGCCAGACUCCUACGGGAGGCAGCAGUAGGGAAUAUUGGUCAAUGGAUGGAAGUUUGAACCAGCCAUGCCGCGUGCAGGAAGAAGGCCUUUUGGGUUGUAAACUGCUUUUGCCAGGGGAUAAAAUGACCUUGCGAGGUUAAUUGAAGGUACCUGGUGAAUAAGCCACGGCUAACUACGUGCCAGUAGCCGUGGUAAUAUGUAGGUGGCAAGCGUUGUCCGGAUUUAUUGGGUUUAAAGGGUGCGUAGGCGGCUUAUUAAGUCAGUGGUGAAAUACUCUAGUUUAAUUAGAGGGGUGCCAUUGAUACUGAUGAGCUUGAGUACAGAUGAGGUAGGCGGAAUUGACGGUGUAGUGGUGAGAUGUUUAGAUAUCGUCAAGAAUACUUAUAGUGAAGGUAGCUUACUAGGCUGUAACUGACGCUGAGGCACGAAAGUGUGGGGAUCAAACAGGAUUAGAUACCCUGGUAGUCCACACUGUAAACGUUGAUUACUCGCUGUGUGCGAUAUAUAGUACGCGGCCAAGCGAAAGCGAUAAGUAAUCCACCUGGGGAGUACGCCGGUAACGGUGAAACUCAAAGGAAUUGACGGGGGUCCGCACAAGCGGUGGAGCAUGAGGUUUAAUUCGAUGAUAUGUGAGGAACCUUACCUGGACUAGAAUGCCCUUGACCGAUCCAGAGAUGGAUUUUUCCGUAAGGACAAGGAGCAAGGUGCUGUAUGGCCGUCGUCAGCUCGUGCCGUGAGGUGUUGGGUUAAGUCCCGCAACGAGCGCAACCCCUAUUUUUAGUUGCCAACAGGUUAAGUUGGGGACUUUAAAAAGACUGCCCGCGUAAGCGGAGAGGAAGGAGGGGACGACGUCAGGUCAUCAUGGCCCUUACGUCCAGGGCUACACACGUGCUACAAUGGCGUAAACAGAGUGUUGCAAACCAGUGAUGGUAAGCUAAUCACAAAAAAUACGUCUCAGUUCGGAUUGCAGGCUGUAACUUGCCUGCAUGAAGUUGGAAUCGCUAGUAAUCGCGCAUCAGUAAUGGCGCGGUGAAUACGUUCCCGGACCUUGUAUAUAUCGCCCGUCAAGCCAUGAGAGUCGGGAGGACCUGAAGGCAGUUGCUGUAAGGCGCUGUUUAGGGUUAAACCGAUGAUUAGGGCUAAGUCGUAACAAGGUA
rnacentral:rRNA from 1 species